UGGGGAAUAUUGCACAAUGGGCGAAAGCCUGAUGCAGCAACGCCGCGUGAGUGAUGAAGGUCUUCGGAUUGUAAAGCUCUGUCUUUUGGGACGAUAAUGACGGUACCAAAGGAGGAAGCCACGGCUAACUACGUGCCAGCAGCCGCGGUAAUACGUAGGUGGCGAGCGUUGUCCGGAUUUACUGGGCGUAAAGGGUGCGUAGGCGGAUGUUUAAGUGAGAUGUGAAAUACCCGGGCUUAACUUGGGUGCUGCAUUUCAAACUGGAUAUCUAGAGUGCAGGAGAGGAGAAUGGAAUUCCUAGUGUAGCGGUGAAAUGCGUAGAGAUUAGGAAGAACACCAGUGGCGAAGGCGAUUCUCUGGACUGUAACUGACGCUGAGGCACGAAAGCGUGGGUAGCAAACAGGAUUAGAUACCCUGGUAGUCCACGCCGUAAACGAUGAGUACUAGGUGUAGGAGGUAUCGACCCCUUCUGUGCCGCAGUAAACACAUUAAGUACUCCGCCUGGGAAGUACGAUCGCAAGAUU
rnacentral:rRNA from 1 species